ACGUAGGGACCAAGCGUUGUUCGGAUUUACUGGGCGUAAAGGGUGCGUAGGCGGUUGUUUAAGUCUGUCGUGAAAUCCCCGGGCUCAACCUGGGAAUGGCGAUGGAUACUGGGCAGCUAGAGUGUGUCAGAGGAUGGUGGAAUUCCCGGUGUAGCGGUGAAAUGCGUAGAGAUCGGGAGGAACAUCAGUGGCGAAGGCGGCCAUCUGGGACAACACUGACGCUGAAGCACGAAAGCGUGGGGAGCAAACAGGA
rnacentral:rRNA from 1 species